rnacentral:miRNA from 1 species
UGGAGCCAAGGAUGACAUGUC